CUAAGGCCUGCUCCCUGACAGCCACAAGAUCUGCCUACAAGGAUGAUUCUUGCUCUUAUCGUGUUAAACUCAUCUAUGGACAUCCCUGCUCAGACCACCCUGGAUAAAGCAGGUCUCAUCUCUCCUAUCACUAUGAACUACAUACCCUGACCCCAUCUUGGCAUGUCACUAGCUGGUACCUGCAGUCAGAGGAUAGUGACUUGCAUGAACACGGCCUAUCUGCACUGGAAUACAAGCUCCUCAAAGCCAA